CGCCUUGCCAGCCCGCUCAGAACUUAAAGGAAUUGACGGGGCCCGCACAAGCGGUGGAGUAUGUGGUUAAUUCGAUGCAACGCGAAGAACCUUACCUGGUCUUGACAUCCCGGAGACCCUUAGGAAACUAGGGGGUGCUUCCAUCUGGAAGAAUCUGGAGACAGGUGCUGCAUGGCUGUCGUCAGCUCGUGUCGUGAGAUGUUGGGUUAAGUCCCGCAACGAGCGCAACCCUUGCCUUUAGUUGCCAGCAGUUCGGCUGGGCACUCUAAAGGGACUGCCGGUGUUAAACCGGAGGAAGGUGGGGAUGACGUCAAGUCCUCAUGGCCUUUAUGACCAGGGCUACACACGUACUACAAUGGCCGAUACAAAGGGCAGCGACACUGCGAGGUGAAGCCAAUCCCGUAAAAUCGGUCUCAGUCCGGAUUGGAGUCUGCAACUCGACUCCAUGAAGUUGGAAUCGCUAGUAAUCGCGGAUCAGCCAAGCCGCGGUGAAUACGUUCCCGGGCCCU
rnacentral:rRNA from 1 species